rnacentral:lncRNA from 1 species
AGUAGAUCAGAAUAUUGAUAAUUCCAAUCAAACUGGUAAAGCCCAAGGGACAGCUAUAGUUGUUUUGAGAUUUAAAUAGGUUAGCUCCAAUUUUAUAUAGUUAACUGAAGUGAAUGAAACUAUACUGCUUUCUUAAAAGUUAAAAAGAAAAGGUUUUAAAAAGCAGGAUGUUUAACACAUAUAAAAUCCUAUUAAAUGCAUGAUAAUAAAUCAUAUUUGUUGAUGGUCAUUUUAAGAAUGAAUUUAAUUUUAGUAUGAAGCUCUCACAGUAUAACCAUGCUAUUUCAUUUUGUUGACAUAGAAACAGAGACCGAGAUCCAUUAACCAAGGAACAUUUGUUAAAAGUCCAUAGGCUUCCUGCUAUGGAGACUAUAGAAGAAAGAGAAGAUUUGGACCCUCUUCUCAAAGGCGCUUAUAUGCAACUGAUGCACUGAAGAAAGAAAACUAAAACAAGCUACAACAGAGCCUAUAAUUCCCAACAAGCUGCUCUGUUUUCUGAUGGAAAUAAUCAGUAAGUAGAUCUCCAAGGCACCUAUUAAUCUCUGUCAGUUUUGACGAAGUGGAGAUUCUGAUUGGCUGCUCAGGAAUGGCCAGCUGCUAAAGGAAACUAG